GACGUAGGAGGCGAGCGUUGUCCGGAUUCAUUGGGCGUAAAGAGCGCGCAGGCGGCUUGGUAAGUCGGAUGUGAAAUCCCGAGGCUCAACCUCGGGUCUGCAUCCGAUACUGCCCGGCUAGAGGUAGGUAGGGGAGAUCGGAAUUCCUGGUGUAGCGGUGAAAUGCGCAGAUAUCAGGAGGAACACCGGUGGCGAAGGCGGGUCUCUGGGCAAUAACUGACGCUGAGGAGCGAAAGCGUGGGGAGCGAACAGG
rnacentral:rRNA from 1 species